rnacentral:rRNA from 1 species
AACGAACGCUGGCGGCAGGCCCUACACAUGCAAGUCGAGCGAGGACUUCGGUCCUAGCGGCGGACGGGUGAGUAACGCGUGGGAACGUGCCCUUUGCUUCGGAAUAGCCCUGGGAAACUGGGAGUAAUACCGGAUGAGCCCUUUGGGGGAAAGAUUUAUCGGCGAAGGAUCGGCCCGCGUUGGAUUAGGUAGUUGGUGGGGUAAUGGCCUACCAAGCCGACGAUCCAUAGCUGGUUUGAGAGGAUGAUCAGCCACACUGGGACUGAGACACGGCCCAGACUCCUACGGGAGGCAGCAGUGGGGAAUCUUAGACAAUGGGGGAAACCCUGAUCUAGCCAUGCCGCGUGAGCGAUGAAGGCCUUAGGGUUGUAAAGCUCUUUCAGCUGGGAAGAUAAUGACGGUACCAGCAGAAGAAGCCCCGGCUAACUCCGUG